rnacentral:lncRNA from 1 species
UUACCGACCAAGUCCAGCAACUUCGCCCGUUCCUAAACUACUUUGCACUAGAUUCAGCUACAGUUACAUCAGAACACAUUUGGAUUCUCAGAUUUCACAUACGAAUCGUCGCGUAAUUUCAAUGUGCCACCAGCUCAGAUCCCUCCCCUGCACAAGAUGUCAAUUCGCUACUCAGCUAAACAUCGCUUCACUUCUUCUAAUUCAGCAUGUUCUUUCUCCACGAUAGCCUCCAUUUCAUCCAAAUCUUUCAUCUUACACGGCAGUUUCUUCAACUAGUGUUGCAACCCAGUAAAACAAAUAGAUUAGAAG